rnacentral:rRNA from 1 species
AACGAACGCUGGCGGCGCGCCUAAUACAUGCAAGUCGAGCGAGAAGACGUAGCAAUACGUUUGUAAAGCGGCGAACGGGUGAGGAAUACAUGGGUAACCUACCCUCGAGUGGGGAAUAACUAGCCGAAAGGUUAGCUAAUACCGCGUACGCUCCUUGGACUUCGGUUCAGGGAGGAAAGCGAUACCGUGGGUAUCGCGCUCUUGGAUGGGCUCAUGUCCUAUCAGCUUGUUGGUGAGGUAACGGCUCACCAAGGCUUCGACGGGUAGCUGGUCUGAGAGGACGAUCAGCCACACUGGCACUGCGACACGGGCCAGACUCCUACGGGAGGCAGCAGUAAGGAAUAUUGCGCAAUGGGCGAAAGCCUGACGCAGCGACGCCGCGUGGGGGGAUGAAGGUCUUCGGAUUGUAAACCCCUUUCGGGAGGGAAGAUGGAACGAGCAAUCGUUCGGACGGUACCUCCAGAAGCAGCCACGGCUAACUUCGUGCC